rnacentral:rRNA from 1 species
GAUGAACGCUGGCGGCGUGCCUAAUACAUGCAAGUCGAGCGAACAGACGAUGAGCUUGCUCCUCUGACGUUAGCGGCGGACGGGUGAGUAACACGUGGAUAACCUACCUAUAAGACUUGGAUAACUUCGUGAAACCGGUGCUAAUACCGGAUCAUAUAUUGAACCGCAUGGUUCAAUAGUGAAAGACGGUUUUGCUGUCACUUAUAGAUGGAUCCGCGCCGCAUUAGCUACUUGGUAAGGUAACGGCUUACCAAGGCACCGAUGCGUAUCCGACCGGAUAGAGGAAUCGGCAAACCGGAAAGUGGGAAAGGGCCAAGAAUCAAAGGGGAGGCAGAAGGAGGGAAUCUUCAGAAAGGGGGGAAAGCUUGACGAAGCAAAGCGGGUUGAGGGAGGAAGGUCUUCGGUUCGUAAAACUCUGUGAUGAGGAAAAAAAAAAGGUGGAAGUAACCAUGCACGUCUUAAGGGUACCUAAGAAGAAAGCCACGGCAAACUAGGG